ACCAGUACUCAGUCAGCUGCCCAGGCGACGUGUCUGGCUCAGUGUUACAGUGCUGGAAGAAAAAGCCUCUGCACUUGACCCUGCACAGCAGCUUCUGUUUUAGAACCUGCUGCUGCUGAACGGCUGCAGAGCGAGGCCCGUCGAGAGUGGUCCGUCCCGGACCGUCGAGACGGACCUAGUGCUGGGCCAUACAUG